rnacentral:rRNA from 1 species
UACGUAGGGGGCAAGCGUUGUCCGGAAUUACUGGGCGUAAAGCGUGCGUAGGUGGUCUUUUAAGUCCGUUGUGAAAGCCCUGGGCUCAACCUGGGAAUGGCAGUGGAUACUGGAAGGCUGGAGUACGGUAGAGGAGGGUGGAAUUCCCGGUGUAGCGGUGAAAUGCGUAGAGAUCGGGAGGAACAUCAGUGGCGAAGGCGGCCCUCUGGACCAGUACUGACGCUGAGGCACGAAAGCGUGGGGAGCAAACAGG